AUCUGUUUUCAUUACAUGAGAUCACCUGUUCCAAUUAGUGCGCAGAAGUUAAGCAACAUUGGACCUGGUGAGUACUUGGAUAGGUGAUCUACUGGGAAUCCCAGUGGUCGUUCAUU
rnacentral:rRNA from 1 species